CUACGGGCGGCUGCAGUCGAGAAUAUUUUGCAAUGGGCGAAAGCCUGACAAUGCGACGCCGCGUGAGGGAUGAAGGUCUUCGGAUUGUAAACCUCUUUUUUCAGGGAUGAAAUACUGAUAGUAAAUAAUUAUCAGGACUGACAGUACCUGACGAAUAAGCCACGGCUAACUCCGUGCCAGCAGCCGCGGUAAUACGGAGGUGGCUAGCGUUACUCGGAAUGACUGGGUGUAAAGGGUCCGCAGGCGGCCAGGUAAGUGAAAGGUGAAAUCUUUCGGCUCAACCGGAAGGCUGCCUUUCAAACUGUCUGGCUUGAGGCUGGAAGAGGAGAGUGGAACUGCCGGUGUAAGGGUGAAAUCUGUGGAUAUCGGCAGGAAUGUCAAUGGCGAAGGCAGCUCUCUGGUCCAGUACUGACGCUCAUGGACGAAAGCUAGGGUAGCGAACGGGAUUAGAUACCCGGGUAGUC
rnacentral:rRNA from 1 species